GGUGGGCUGCGAUUCCGGAGUCUUCGGUGUAUUGCAGCAGCGGCUACUGUGGCCGGGACGAGGAAAUAUGUUCCGUUAUAGGUAUAGGGAUAGGUUUGAUCUUCAUGAGAAUAGAAUUGGAGAUGAUUGGAAUGCCAAGGCAUUGAGCAGAACGAAGUCAGAUUUCAACAUCAACCCUAGUUCGGAUAGGCUUGAGCUUAAUUCCUAAACUUGCCGGAGAGAGGAGUUCUGGCGCUAUGCAUGAAUGAUUACCAGAGGGGCUGGCUGGAUUCGAGCCAUUGCUUGAUGAUGAAGCAAAAUAUUGUUGUCUUUGGUAGCCAAAACCCAUCAAGAAACACUCAAGUGGAAAUAUCAUGGAAUUUGGAUGCUCUUCUGUUACUAGUGAGCCACAAGCUUGAACCUGAGCAGGUAAGCAACAUCGUUAUGCUACAUUCUAAUAUUGUUUCCCUUUGUCUUUCUCAACUAGAUUUUCAUUUCCUCGUUCAAGAGUGAUGUUCCUAAAGUAGUUCUCAAAAAGAUUAAUUUUGCCUAUCAAAUUCAUCCAGCAGUCAAUUGGGUUUGACAGGGGUGACAGGUGAAAAAUUGUCAACAAAGAACGAUGGUAAUAAUUUUGGGUAUAUCAGAUGAAUAAUUAAUCUCUUUAUGAGUUAUUUUGUCUGCAAAGCAACAUUUCAAUGACUACUUUAA